rnacentral:rRNA from 1 species
UAGGGAAUAUUGGGCAAUGGAGGGAACUCUGACCCAGCCAUGCCGCGUGCAGGAUGAAGGCGUUAUGCGUUGUAAACUGCUUUUUAUAUAGGAAGAAAUAGUCCUUGCGAGGAAAGUUGACGGUACUAUAUGAAUAAGCACCGGCUAACUCCGUGCCAGCAGCCGCGGUAAUACGGAGGGUGCAAGCGUUGUCCGGAUUUAUUGGGUUUAAAGGGUGCGUAGGCGGUUUAUUAAGUCAGUGGUGAAAGACGGUCGCUCAACGAUUGCAGUGCCAUUGAUACUGGUAGACUUGAGUAUGAUUGAGGUAGCUGGAAUGGAUAGUGUAGCGGUGAAAUGCAUAGAUAUUAUCCAGAACACCAAUUGCGUAGGCAAGUUACUAAGUCAUAACUGACGCUGAGGCACGAAAGUGUGGGUAUCAAACAGGAUUAGAUACCCGCGUAGUCCCUGAGCGGGCUGGCAAGGCGCAU